rnacentral:rRNA from 1 species
AAACUUUCAACAACGGAUCUCUUGGUUCUGGCAUCGAUGAAGAACGCAGCGAAAUGCGAUAAGUAAUGUGAAUUGCAGAAUUCAGUGAAUCAUCGAAUCUUUGAACGCACAUUGCGUCCCUGUGGUAUUCCGCAGGGCAUGCCUGUUCGAGCGUCAUU